rnacentral:rRNA from 1 species
UGGGGAAUAUUGGACAAUGGGGGAAACCCUGAUCCAGCAAUGCCGCGUGAAUGAAGAAGGCCUUAGGGUUGUAAAAUUCUUUUGUUCGUGACGAUAAUGACGGUAGCGGACGAAUAAGCCCUGGCUAACUCUGUGCCAGCAGCCGCGGUAAUACAGAGAGGGCAAGCGUUGUCCGGAAUGACUGGGCGUAAAGCGCGCGCAGGCGGUUUCUUAAGUUGGAUGUGAAAUCCCCGGGCUUAACCUGGGAACUGCAUUCGAUACUGGGGAACUAGAGGCCGAGAGAGGAAAGCGGAAUGACGAGUGUAGAGGUGAAAUUCGUAGAUAUUCGUCGGAACACCAGAGGCGAAGGCGGCUUUCUGGCUCGGACCUGACGCUCAGGCGCGAAAGCGUGGGGAGCAAA